ensembl:lncRNA
AUGAGUAAAUCAUUAUUCAAAGACGUAAACAUUGUUGUAUGUGAUUCAUUUUUUAGUGACGAUGACAAUGAAGAAGAAAAACAAAAAAUACAAAACGAGUCUAAUAAGUAUAAUAAUAAGUAUAAUAAAUCUGUUGUAAAAGAUAAUAAUACAUUAUUAACUCAUAAAAAUAAUAAAAUAAAUAAUGACGAUUACACAAAACAAACACAGGACACUACUAGUGUUUAUAAAACAAACAACGUUGAAGGUCCAAAUAAAAAACUAAAAACUGUUACAGAUGAAAAAAAAGAAGGAUAUAAUAAUGCUUAUAGUAAAGAACAUACAGAAAAUUAUUUUAAUUUUGAAAAUUAUUUAGAUAGUACAAAUGAUGAGAUUAGUGAUAGUAAUAAUAAUAUAUAUAUGAAUGUUAAUGCAAAUGUGUCAAAAAAAAUUGGUAAUAAAAAAGUUUGGCAUGAUUCCGAUGAUGACGAUGAUGAUGACGAUGAUGAUGGUGAUGAUGAUGAUGAUGGUGAUGAUGAAUCAAAUAAAUUAAUAAAAAGUAAAGGUAAAAGAAAAUCUAAAAAUAAAAAAGCAGCUAAUGAUGAUUUGUUUGAAGGGGACGAUAGUGGAAGUGAAACACAUAUAACUAAAAAAAAAAAAAAAAACGAUAUAAACGGUAAUAAUAUGAACAGUAUAGAUAUAUAUAACAACUAUAAUCAACAAAACCAUUUUAAUGAAUAUAUUGAAAACGUAGCAAUUGAAUCAUAUAACUUAACUGAAGGAGGUAAAGAUUCUCAUAACAUUGAUACAAGUGAUUUAUACAUUUUUGACGAUGAUAAAACAAAUGAGUAUAUAUAUAAUAAUAAAAGACGUAAUAAAUCAAAUGAAAAAAAUAUUUUUCUUAAAUUUAAUUAUCAAUGUACAUACCUGAAAAACAUAAAAGAAAAUAAAAUUCUACAAAUUGUUACUACUCCACACAAUAAUUUAAUAUAUACUAUAUAUAAUAAAAAAUUAUAUUUAAUGCAAUGUAAAGAUACAAAAUUAAAUAUUUUAAAAAAAAUAAUUUUCAACACACCUAUAAAAUCAGCUGAAGAACAUAAUGAAUGCCCGUAUAUUAUUUCUCGUGAUAAUUUUAUUCGUACAUAUAAUUUAGAACAGGGAGUUGUUUAUAAAAGCAGAAUUCAUGGAAUACCUAAUCAAUGUGUUCCUCAAAAAAUAAAAUUUUAUAAACAACAUAACAAAGAAGAAUAUACGAAAAAUACCAAUUCAUUUAUGUAUUCUUUAUCAUUUACUAAUUCUGGUAAAAUAAAUAUUUAUGAUAGUAGGUGUACUGAAGUUGUUAAGUCGUUUAAUAUGGAUAAUGAUUAUAUAGGUAUGGAUUUUCAUAAAAAUACUAAUAGUUUAUUUUCAAUAGAUAAUAAAGGUUAUUUAUAUAAUUGGUGUUUAAAUACAAACAAACUAAAAAAGAAAAUAAUAGAUAAUUAUACAGUUUUUCCGACUUUAUUAAAUGUAUCUAAUUCCUAUUUAGUCACUUGCUCAUUUAAUGGUUUUUUGAAUUUAUAUGAUGUAAACAAUUUAGACAUGCCUAUAAAAUCAUUUAAAAAUUUAACUCAUAGUAUUACUGAAGCAGUUUUUAGUCCUUCAAAUGAUCACCUUUUAUAUUUAACACCUUAUUGUAAAAAUGGUGUCAGAUUAAUAAAUUUAAAAAAAAAAUAUGUAUAUUGUAACAUACCAUGGUUUCAGUCUGAAAUAUCCUAUAAUAUUCAUUGUGCUAAUUUUUUUAACAGUGGAAAUAGUAUGCUUACUGCUGCUCGUCAAAAUUUAUUUUAUGUGUAUAAUAUACUACCUUCAGAGUUUUAAAAAAAAAAAAAAAAUAAAAAUAAAAAAAAAAUAAAAUAUUAAAUUUAU